rnacentral:rRNA from 1 species
CAGUCGAGCGAACGGACGAGAGUGCUUGCACUCUCUGAUGUUAGCGGCGGACGGGUGAGUAACACGUGGGUAACCUACCUAUAAGACUGGGAUAACUUCGGGAAACCGGAGCUAAUACCGGAUAAUAUUUAGCUUCGCAUGAAGCAAUAGUGAAAGACGGUUCUGCUGUCACUUAUAGAUGGACCCGCGGUGUAUUAGCUAGUUGGUGAGGUAACGGCUCACCAAGGCAACGAUACAUAGCCGACCUGAGAGGGUGAUCGGCCACACUGGGACUGAGACACGGCCCAGACUCCUACGGGAGGCAGCAGUAGGGAAUCUUCCGCAAUGGACGAAAGUCUGACGGAGCAACGCCGCGUGAGUGAAGAAGGUUUUCGGAUCGUAAAACUCUGUUGUAAGGGAAGAACAAGUACGUUAGUAACUGAACGUACCUUGACGGUACCUUACCAGAAAGCCACGGCUAACUACGUGCCAGCAGCCGCGGUAAUACGUAGGUGGCAAGCGUUAUCCGGAAUUAUUGGGCGUAAAGCGCGCGUAGGCGGUCUCUUAAGUCUGAUGUGAAAGCCCCCGGCUCAACCGGGGAGGGUCAUUGGAAACUGGGAGACUUGAGUGCAGAAGAGGAGAGUGGAAUUCCAUGUGUAGCGGUGAAAUGCGCAGAGAUAUGGAGGAACACCAGUGGCGAAGGCGGCUCUCUGGUCUGUAACUGACGCUGAGGUGCGAAAGCGUGGGGAUCAAACAGGAUUAGAUACCCUGGUAGUCCACGCCGUAAACGAUGAGUGCUAAGUGUUGGGGGGUUUCCGCCC